UACGUAGGGUGCAGGCGUUAAUCGGAAUUACUGGGCGUAAAGCGUGCGCAGGCGGUCUUUUAAGUCAGAUGUGAAAUCCCCGGGCUUAACCUGGGAACUGCGUUUGAAACUACAAGGCUAGAGUGUGACAGAGGGGGGUGGAAUUCCACGUGUAGCAGUGAAAUGCGUAGAGAUGUGGAGGAACACCGAUGGCGAAGGCAGCCCCCUGGGUUAACACUGACGCUCAGGCACGAAAGCGUGGGGAGCAAACAGG
rnacentral:rRNA from 1 species